CUCCAGAGAGGGUUAAAUGUUCUGCUAUUACAAAUUGGAAUAAUUUAUUUAAAAUCACUGGCUCCACAAACAUUUAUGUCUGGAGAUUCAGUGAUGGCUGAAGAGUACAUGACACAAGCUGGCAAGUGGUACAGCAUAAGAUUUACACAUAAAUGAAGAUCUCAAGGCAGUCUAACCUUCUGACUUGAGUAGACUAA